GAUGAAGAACGCAGCGAAAUGCGAUAAGUAAUGUGAAUUGCAGAAUUCAGAGAAUCAUCGAAUCUUUGAACGCACAUUGCGCCCUUUGGUAUUCCAAAGGGCAUGCCUGUUCGAGCGUCAUUUGUACCCUCAAGCUUUGCUUGGUGUUGGGAGUCUUGUCUCUAGCUUUGCUGGAGACUCGCCUUAAAGUAAUUGGCAGCCGGCCUACUGGUUUCGGAGCGCAGCACAAGUCGCACUCUCUAUCAGCAAAGGUCUAGCAUCCAUUAAGCCUUUUUUUCAACUUUUGACCUCGGAUCAGGUAGGGAUACCCGCUGAACUUAAGCAUAUCAAUAAGCGGAGGA
rnacentral:misc_RNA from 1 species